AAGACGUAGGGGGCGAGCGUUACCCGGAGUCACUGGGCGUAAAGGGCGUGUAGGCGGCUGGGCGCGCCGCGUGUGAAAGCCCGCGGCUCAACCGCGGGGGGUCGCGCGGGACGGCCUGGCUUGAGGGCGGGAGAGGCGGGUGGAAUUCCCGGUGUAGCGGUGAAAUGCGUAGAGAUCGGGAGGAACACCGGUGGCGAAGGCGGCCCGCUGGCCCGUACCUGACGCUGAGGCGCGAAGGCGUGGGGAGCGAACCGGAUUAGAUACCCGGGUAGUCCACGCAGUAAACGAUGCGGGCGAGGUGUGGGUGGUGUUGACCCCAUCCGUGCCGGCGCCAACGCAGUAAGCCCGCCGCCUGGGGAGUACGGCCGCAAGGCU
rnacentral:rRNA from 1 species